GUGGGAGCAAACUGUGCGCUCGUCCCCCAAAUCGCACUUCCAUUCCCUCCCAAAUCCGCGCCUUCUUCUCCUUCGAUCCAUCGUCAUCGGGUAGUAGUGGCAGCUCCUCUGGAACCUUGCACGUCGAUUUCCCACGAAGGACCUUUAAGAACGAGGUUCUUUUGGUUAGGUUUGUGAUUCAAGAGCUCCCAUUGUCUUUGUUCAUCACAUUCUACAUUGUGUCAGCACUCAGUGGCUUCCUUUAGACCCUCCUGAAAGGUUAGCAUUGCUGUUUCACAUAACUCGGUGAACAUUUCCAUGGCAUCAUUUUUUGCUGCUUAAUAAGAAAUAAAAGAGCAAUGGGAAGAAAGUUCUGUUUAGAGGAAGCUCAUAUUGUUUUAGAAUUAUAUAUUCAUUCUCAGGCUUUUUUUUUUUUUUUUCUUGAACGGAAUUCAUAGAAUUUUGAACUAUCAAAAGUUUAUUACCCUUUGAACAUAAAACAGUUGUAUUUGGUGAACUUAAUGAUGGUCAACGAUAGCAACCAUUCUGCUUUCAUUAUUAGAUUCCUUUGUGUGUCUGUUGGCAUUUUAUAUAGUAAAUAAGCAGUCCGUGAUACAAAAUUUGACCUCUUUGACAUAUUCUCCUUCACCGAUAGAUGUAGCAGAGAAAAGUCAAUAAGCCUUCAACUCUUAUUUGAGUCAAUUUGAGUUCCUGAUAAGAGUGACUGAAUGGCAUACCUUUCUUUUGUAUGAACUCUAUAGGUUUGCUUAUCUUCUCCCUCUUUUUUUUUUUCUAAUUUUUUAAUUUAAAUCGGGAACAACCCGACAACCUUUUUAUCGGACGAACUCUUCGAGGGGUAUGAUUCGAAUCCUUGUUUUUGUUUCAUUCAUCUUUCCGUCGACAUGCUUGACAUGACAAGAGAUGGGCCUGAGAUAGCGUGUUCCGUCAUUUCCUCUGCUGUAGGCAAGCGCGAGCACUGGCCUUCUGAGCUAAACUAUAACACGGUGAGGUUCUCUUCGUUAUCCUUUCUAAUAGAUAUUUUCCUUCCAUUCGUCACUGUCAACGUUAUGUUGGUCGAAGUCCUUUCACCAGUAACAUUUUUAUUUCAGUGCCUUCCCCUACCAACAUAUUCUUGAACACGGGAUCUUUGACCCGUUCCAAGUUUCCAAGUUCUUCGGGUCCGCGUGGGGCUUCGAAAUGUCCAAAAAGCCCUCGAUCCUUGUGGAUGGAGUGGGGUGUAGAUGUGAGGGCAUCUUCGUCUAUUGAACCUUAAUCUUCUGGAAACAUUCCGCGCACGCGCGCGUACUCGGCCCCCGCGGCUCUCCGGGGAAGAAAGCCCGUUCGUGUCGCUUCGAGAUACGUAGAAUCACAGAUCUCAAAGCACAAAUGACUUCAUGGCACUGCUGCUACGCGGGCGCGCUGUGUCGCGGUCCGCGUCUCGCCCGCGUCCAUGGGCAUUGCGGGCUCCUUUCACCGCGGUUAACUUGGACAUUUUAUGUUUUAUUUAGAAGGGCAUAUCCCGCUUUGGUGGGACAUGGCAAGUCGCGGUCUCCUUUCCUUUUGUUUCUUUUAAAUUUGUCCGCGUAUUUGUUCCUUCCGAGGAAGGUUCAUAAAAGGCGCCUCUUCGCCUUUCUCCUACCCUCGAUCAUCGAAGGUUUCCAAGCAAGCCAACAAGCAAACGCUACCUCGACGAAGGUCUUCGGGGUAGUGUUUCGCUCCCUCCAGUCUCUUUCGUUUUCCUCUCAUUCCCGCCCCCACCUUGAAACAUCUCUUGCUCCGUAAGAAUGAAUUGAGUGGUUCGGUUCCACCGAUAAUGCCCGCUGCGGUCUACCAGGGCUUGUCCUCCUCCUUCUCGCCCUCCCUCGGCCGGUUCAUCCCAAGCGUCCGCGGCGACCAGAUCCACGCCAUUGACGCCCGCCACCACAUGGCCGCGGGCGCCGCCGCCGAGCAGCCGGAUCUGCUCGCCUUCCAGCGCUGCGUCGCUGACCACUUCCUCGACCUCUCCGUCGUCGACGCCGAUGGUCUUCUGUCCCUUUCCUGGCUUCGCAAGCUCCUCCACUCCUUCCUUGUGUGCCAUGAGGCAUUCCGGCCCCUCCUCCUAGACCGCUGGUCACUCAUCGCUCGCCCACCCCUUGACCGUCUCGUCGCCGACUUCUCAGAUCGCACCGUCAAGGCCCUCGACAUCUGCAACGCAGCUCGGGAUGGCGUCGACCAGCUCCGUCGCUUGGAGACCCACCUCGAGAUCGUGGUUGCCGCGCUUGGCCCCGCCGCCGCUUCCUCCGCCCGCCACGGACACCGCGAGGGCCAGCUCCGCCGCGCCCGCAAGGCCCUCGCCGAACUCGCUGUCAUGCUCGACGACAGGGACUCCGGCUCGAUCCCCUCCCACCGCAACCGCUCCUUCGGCCGCAGCGGCAGCGGCAGCGCUGGCUCCUCUUCGUCCUCCUCGCCGAGCGGCAGCCGCCGUCUCUCCCACUUCCGCUCCCUCUCCUCUAGCGUGUCCCGCUCAUGGUCCUUAGUGCGGCAGCUGCAGGCCAUUGGGAGCAACAUGGCCGCACCUCGCGGCCACGAGGUCGAGGCCACCGCCGGACUCGCGGUGCCCGUCUACACGAUGAGCGCGGUGCUACUGUUUGCGAUGCGGUCCCUGGUAGCUGCGAUCCCAUGCCAUGAUCGCAGCAACCAGGCCCACUUUUCCAUUCCGCGGACCUUCCCGUGGGCAGCGCCUAUCAUCUCUAUUCAUGAGCGGAUCGUGGAGGAGUCCAAGAAGAAGGAACGGAGGAACUCAACCGGACUGCUGAAGGAAAUCCAACAGAUUGAGAGGUGCACGCACCAAUUGAUGGAGCUGACACAGGCCAAUCAGUUCCCGAUGUCAGAGGAGAAGCAGGAGGAGCUGAGGCAGAGGGUGGAAGAGUUAGAACAGGUCUGUGUGGUCUUGAAGGAAGGACUUGGCCCGUUGGAACGCCAGGUGAGGGAGGUCUUCCUUCGGAUCAUGUGCAGCCGCAUUGACGGUUUCGAUCGCUUGUCUCAGACUAUGCAAUGAAAGCUCCCAUUUUUUGUCCUGUGGCAGAAACAACUAUCUGAUGUUAAUGAUAUGGGGCCAUUGUCAUUGCAAAUUGGAAUGAGAAUAGAGAAAAAAAUGAAGUGAAGUAGAUAAAGUGAAGGAAUUGAUAUAGAGCAAAUGAGUCUUCAUUCACACAAAUAAUCAGUCACCUGAGAUCAGUUCAAUCAAUGUAAUUGUUCAACUACUAUGAUUGUCGGCCAGACAGCAGCUAUGUCAUCUUCAGCAAGUUUUUCCAGCUUCAAGGACAGUUUAUGUUUGAACAGAUCUUUGAGCAUCAAGUUUGCCUCUUCCAAUUUGAGGGACAUGCAGUUUUGCUUUCAACAAUUUUGUCUGCUACUAGCUAACCUCAUUUGAAUUUUGAUCACCCUGAAAGUUUUUAUCAUGCAGGAAAAGAAAAGAAUUUCCAGCAAAAAAUAUAACGUAGACGGACAUCCCAUUAUCAUUUCAGCAGCAGCAGCAGUGUAUCUUUCAACGUGCACUAUUCAUGUUCAGCAUCAUAAAGCUUCACUAGUUGUACCAAAAGCAUACAAGACCUGAACCAUUGGACUGGAAGCGACAACCAGAGAGGAACCAAAGGUGUUCGUAUAUUGAGCAUCGAUGGCCAAACUCACCAUUUUAUUACCGAAGAGCAGUUAGUGUGCAAUUAGAAGGCAUCGCUCUUACCCUCGUCAUCAACCACAGACCACAAGGACUUGCUACUUUUGUUGAUCGCAGAGCAAUUAGUCCGGAUCUCGCCUUUGUUGCCCGUCAACACGCUGAGCUGACCCAUCUUGGUCAUGGAGUAGACGAACUUCUCGAAGAACAAGGUCUGGUUAACAGCGAAGUUGAUGACGAUGGACUUCGUCGUCGUGUUGGUGUACAGAUCCUGGUCGGAGGUGAACAGCCCCUGUCUGUUCAUGAGAUCCACGUAGUACUUGUUGUCGAAUUUGUCGGGUGACCGGAUGUCGAGCACGGUGGUGUUGUUGGUGUUAUUGACCGGGCAGGUCAGGUAGAGGUUCUUGGCGAAGGUCUUGUCCAUGUUGGGGUCCUGGGAUGGGAAGAGUCGGUUAUCGAAGGAGGGGCAGUGGCCAAUGCCGAUGGUGUGGCCGCCGGAGAGGGUGACGAGGUCGUUGGCGUCGAGGUUGAGCUGGCUGAGGGCGGCGAGGAGCGCGGUCACGUCGGAUCUGGGGGAAGGAAGGAAUUUGAGCACCUCAUCCUGUGUUGCAAAGGUCAAGCCAUCCCGCCGGCCGAAAGGAACCUUGUAGCCAGGGCCACCCGACUGAAGAAGAAGACGACAGAAGGAUACGGACGCUUAGACACAGAUUUUGAUGCAUAUAUGUGGGUUGAAGUCGAGAUGUCUAGAUUUCUAAUGGCCAUCGGUGGUUUGGUUUCAGGAGGAGAGGCUGUACCAAGUGAACAGAGUCGCGGGCGGCGAGAGCGGCGAUGUCAGCGCAGGAGACGGUCUGCCCACAAGCUUGGGUAACGAGAACCUGGAGGUCGUUGAGAGCUUUGAAGGCUGCCGGCCGGAGCGUCAAGUUGGGCGGCGCGUUCUGCUCGCCCGGCCCACCUGCCGACCCGUCCAACAAUAUCGAUCCGUCGCAGCCCUGCACAUGAGCAGCACAUCCACCAUCACAAAUCCAGCUAGCGAACACUGUGUGGCCACUCACGGUAGCCACUGGGUGCCGCAGAGAUACCUGAACGAAGCAGUCAUGGAAAUGAACUCGGAGGAGGGCAGCAGCGAGGCCGAUGUUCUUCUUGAAUUCUUGCUUUAGGUAGUUCCUGACUACGGACUCCAAGCUGGGGCAGGUGGUCUUGUAGAAGUCGAAGGAGAGGCCCUUCACCAGAGGAGGGUAAUCAAAGGCUUCCGAAGUGGAGGAGAGGAAGACAAUGCAAGAGACCAGGAGCAGCAGCCGAGACGUCGGAGCAGUAGCAGCCAUGGGUGGUGAGCAAGGAGAAGAGCUCGUUCUCGGCACAAGCCUCUUCCUACUCCGACGCACCCUCAUUUAUAGGCAUUAAUGGCUAUACAGAUCAUGAAUGGACCAUUUUUUUCUUCUCCAUGUUUCAGAUAAGGUGCAUCGUUCCCUGCUCGUGGUCCACUCGUGGAGUCAUUUCCACCAGGAAGCUUCGUCGCCACAUCCAAGUCGUAUGCCGGAGCGUAUCUCGACCACCUGCAUCGGGGGAAGGUGAGGGGCAAAACCCCACUGUAAAAAACAAAAGGCACCAUGGCCAUUUUCUCAAGCUGCCAUCUUUGACCCAGUCCGAAGAAGAAGAUCUGCCUUGGCAGAUGCAGAGAGUAAAGUCGGGGCCAAAGAAAAGCCGACAGACAACCAGCAGCCCAUCGGGCAAUCAGUCGAACCGCAAAGAUGAGGGAGGAGAAGCAGUUGAUGUCACAAGAUUGGAGAAAAGACAGCCUCUCCGACGAAACAAGGAAGUCCAAUUGUAUCUUUUAUUGUUUGUUUGUUUGUUUGACCUAAAUCGAGCACGAGGACCGGAGAGGAGAGACUUGUGUUCA